rnacentral:rRNA from 1 species
UACGAAGGGGGCUAGCGUUGCUCGGAAUCACUGGGCGUAAAGCGCACGUAGGCGGAUCUUUAAGUCAGGGGUGAAAUCCUGGAGCUCAACUCCAGAACUGCCUUUGAUACUGGGGAUCUCGAGUCCGGGAGAGGUGAGUGGAACUGCGAGUGUAGAGGUGAAAUUCGUAGAUAUUCGGAAGAACACCAGUGGCGAAGGCGGCUCACUGGUCCGGUACUGACGCUGAGGUGCGAAAGCGUGGGGAGCAAACAGG